AACACACAGUUUUGGGGCAGUAUGAGGUCCAGUGCACUGUCCUUCGUCCUCUUGUCACGUUCAGGUCAGAUUUCUGUCUUCAGCAUCCUCAGUUUUCUUCUGGCAGCUUGUCCGUAUCUGCUGUCGACAGUCGUGCUGCUGUUCAAAUGCUGCAGAGCGAGAGUUCCAUCUGCUGAAGACCAAAGCCAGUGCGCAGUGACAGAAGAAACAUCAACCUGAUAUUACAGUUGUUCUGAAUUGCUAAAACGCAUUUCUUGAAACCAUCACUAAUUUUCUCAA